UUCCAGAAUCACACCCAAGCUUACCCAUGUCAAGUUUACCUGUUUCAAGCUUUUUGUGGCUGAGGUGACAGCUUGGUAACAUUCCAGAAUCACACCCAAGCUUACCCAUGUCAAGUUUACCUGUUUCAAGCUUUUUGUGGCUGAGGUGACAGCUUGGUAAUAUUCCAGAAUCACACCCAAGCUUACCCAUGUCAAGUUUACCUGUUUCAAGCUUUUUGUGGCUGAGGUGACAGCUUGGUAAUAUUCCAGAAUCACACCCAAGCUUACCCAUGUCAAGUUUACCUAUUACAAGCUUUUUGUGGCUGAGGUGACAGCUUGGUAAUAUUCCAGAAUCACACCCAAGCUUACCCAUGUCAAGUUUACCUGUUUCAAGCUUUUUGUGGCUGAGGUGACAGCUCUGUAAUAUUCCAGAAUCACACCCAAGCUUACCCAUGUCAAGUUUACCUGU